rnacentral:rRNA from 1 species
GAACUGAAGAGUUUGAUCAUGGCUCAGAUUGAACGCUGGCGGCAGGCCUAACACAUGCAAGUCGAGCGGAUGACGGGAGCUUGCUCCUUGAUUCAGCGGCGGACGGGUGAGUAAUGCCUAGGAAUC